UGAUUUCGUCAUAAUAGUCUCUGUGGAUACGAUAUCCGAUUGCUGUUUAUACUACGAUUACACCGUGUUAGUUGCGGUAUUUUUGUUGCUAAUAAAAUAGUGAUCAACUUUUUGGCGCCGUUGCCGGGGACUGUUUAGAUUUUGCUUUAAUAUUUCUAAUAGGACUUUAUAGUACUGCAAGUUUUAUUUGUUUUUAUUUUUCUUUUCUGAUCUUUUUGCUGUUUCUGUAGGUUGCAUAUGAACACACGAUCUCACGGAAAUCCUCUCUUUGAGUUUGACCCUGAAAUCAAU
rnacentral:lncRNA from 1 species